AGUGAACGCUGGCGGUAGGCCUAACACAUGCAAGUCAAACGGCAGCACAGUAAGAGCUUGCUCUUACGGGUGGCGAGUGGCGGACGGGUGAGGAAUACAUCGGAAUCUACUUUUUCGUGGGGGAUAACGUAGGGAAACUUACGCUAAUACCGCAUACGACCUACGGGUGAAAGCAGGGGAUCUUCGGACCUUGCGCGAUUGAAUGAGCCGAUGUCGGAUUAGCUAGUUGGCGGGGUAAAGGCCCACCAAGGCGACGAUCCGUAGCUGGUCUGAGAGGAUAAUCAGCCACACUGGAACUGAGACACGGUCCAGACUCCUACGGGAGGCAGCAGUGGGGAAUAUUGGACAAUGGGCGCAAGCCUGAUCCAGCCGUACCGCGUGGGUGAAGAAGGCCUUCGGGUUGUAAAGCCCUUUUGUUGGGAAAGAAAAGCAGCAGGUUAAUACCCCGCUGUUCUGACGGUACCCAAAGAAUAAGCACCGGCUAACUUCGUG
rnacentral:rRNA from 1 species